UACGUAGGGUGCAAGCGUUGUCCGGAAUUAUUGGGCGUAAAGAGCUCGUAGGCGGCUUGCCGCGUCGGCUGUGAAAACCUAGGGCUCAACCCUGGGCCUGCAGCCGAUACGGGCAAGCUAGAAUUCGGUAGGGGAGACUGGAAUUCCUGGUGUAGCGGUGAAAUGCGCAGAUAUCAGGAGGAACACCGGUGGCGAAGGCGGGUCUCUGGGCCGAUACUGACGCUGAGGAGCGAAAGCGUGGGGAGCGAACAGG
rnacentral:rRNA from 1 species